rnacentral:rRNA from 1 species
AACGAACGCUGGCGGCAGGCCUAACACAUGCAAGUCGAACGCCCCGCAAGGGGAGUGGCGCACGGGUGAGUAACGCGUGGGAAUAUGCCCUUCGGUUCGGAAUAACACAGGGAAACUUGUGCUAAUACCGGAUACGAUCUACGGAUGAAAGAUUUAUCGCCGAGGGAGUAGCCCGCGUAGGAUUAGCUAGUUGGUGAGGUAAUGGCUCACCAAGGCGACGAUCCUUAGCUGGUCUGAGAGGACGAUCAGCCACACUGGGACUGAGACACGGCCCAGACUCCUACGGGAGGCAGCAGUGGGGAAUAUUGGACAAUGGGCGAAAGCCUGAUCCAGCCAUGCCGCGUGAGUGAUGAAGGCCUUAGGGUUGUAAAGCUCUUUCGCCAGGGAAGAUAAUGACGGUACCUGGAAAAGAAGCCUCGGCUAACUCCGUACCAGCCGCCGCCGUAAAAC